GCCAUUAGAACAUGUAACUUGAGUCGUGGAAAUCCGAAUGUGGUUAUUUAUAUCAGAGUAGAUGCUACUGUGACAUGGGCAUGCACUUCACUCCAGCGAAGAUGCGGGGUAAAACUUGAGUCACCUACAAAAUGAUUUUUACCAUUUGUCAGAGCAGAAGUUUUUCUAGGGUUGUGCAUGUCGAGCCUGUUUGGCUGUUUAUGAGCAGGCUACACUAUAGUCGAUCAAGCCCUUGCAAGAUAGUAAUGCAUUUUUGCAUUCUAGGGUUACAAUGGCGACUAAUAAACAAGACGACCAUGCAGAUCUGAUAGAGAAGAGACCCACCCCGGUGACCUCCUACAGCCAUGGUCGAUGGCAGCCCC